UAGUUGCUAGGAGCAGAGGGCUGCCAGACUCCAGCGCCCGGGGAGCAGUUGGGAGUUCAGGGCCUUGCUCAGUGGCCCUUAGUGUUUUUUUUUAGCUGAGUU